rnacentral:rRNA from 1 species
UAGGGAAUAUUGCGAAAUGGGCGAAAGCCCGAUGCAGCAACGCCGCGUGGGCGAUGAAGGCCUUCGGGUCGUAAAGCCCUUUUUGAGGGGAUGAGGAAGGACAGUACCCUCAGAAUAAGCCUCGGCUAACUACGUGCCAGCAGCCGCGGUAAAACGUAGGAGGCGAGCGUUAUCCGGAUUUACUGGGCGUAAAGCGCGUGCAGGCGGAUUGGAGAGUUGGAUGUGAAAGCUCCCGGCUUAACUGGGAGAGGUCGUUCAAUACUUCCAGUCUUGAGUGCAGUAGAGGGAAGUGGAAUUCCGGGUGUAGUGGUGAAAUGCGUAGAUAUCCGGAGGAACACCAGUGGCGAAAGCGGCUUCCUGGACUGUAACUGACGCUCAGACGCGAAAGCUAGGGUAGCAAACG